UCAUAGGCAUUGACUGUGGCUUAGGUUUCAGUUUGCUUAUGUAGGCUGCCAAAACAUUAGAACCACCUCAGUCUAAUGGCCUCCUUGUUUAACUACUUUAACAAUAUUUAACAGUUAUUUUCUUCCUGAGUUCCCUUUUUUGUAGUACAAUGAGCAGUUCAAUUUCUUUCUGCUAACAAUCUUGUUUUUCUUCAUUCAAAUAUUGAUCUAUAAGAGCCUCUUCUUCAAGUCAUUUUAAGAUUUUACAUUACUAUUCUUAUCCAAGCUCUUAAAAACUCACCUGAUUUUGAAACUCAGGAACUUCCUGCAAGGUUGGUGUUGAUAAGAUUCUAAGAAAGGAUAUAUGUAGAGUGGAGUCACUUGCUCUGGUGUGUUUACUGCAUCAGUGAUAGGUUUUGGUGGCUGUGAAUCAAGAGGAAAAGACACGUCUCAGUGGCAGAGCAAACUGUGGACAGUAAUAACGCUCCUUCCACAGUUUUCUUCGGCACAUUUCUUCUCAUCAGUAAGUCGGCCCAGGGUCAAACAUUGGAUUGGUGAGCAAGGGCCUCAGCAAACCUGAUCCAAGACUGCCUAAUGCAGGAGUCUGUGUAAGUGCCAUAGAGCCCGGAGGCCUGGGUUGAAGUGAUGCCCAAAUGCUUUCCUUGGAAGAGUCGCAUCACCUGAAGAUGUGAUGACAGAGAGAAGUGUGGCAAGGCUGUGAAGCCCGUUGAGAUUAUGGAGCAGUGUUCUAAUGUGAUCUUACAGUCAUGGAGUUACCUCCCAGCUAGCGAGAGUAUGAUGAGUGAAACUCUGCCCUCUAAUGCCAAAGAUUUUGCUGUUGGAGCUGCAGCAGCCAUAUUGUGAUUGACUCUGAGAGAAAGGCCAACAGACAUCAGCCAUAAAGUCCUUGAGCCACUACACUAGCUCAGGAUGUCCUACCUGUCAUAUGAAAGAAAAGUAAAUUCCCAUCCUGGGCACACCUCUCUUUUUUCAUUCUCUUAUAGCUAUAAUGAUCUUGGAUAAGAUGACCACAAGAAAA
rnacentral:lncRNA from 1 species